CCUCCUGCAUGUGUCUUCCCCUUUUGUACUUGGUCUCAUCCCUUGCUGACAUUUUAACUGUAGCUGUCAACAGCAACUCUUCACAGCCCGGACAGAAGUAUCAGAAAGAGCAGUGAGAGCGAAGCGGUCGUCCUCUGUUGUGAUUGUGUUAUUGCAUCAUAAUCUGGUGAAGUGAUUAUUUCAGUGCCAUGUGGGACUGUUGUGGCUUGGCUGCAUGUCAGCAGCUCUGAAGAGUCUAUUCUGAAGCUCGCCCUUGGACCAUGCUGGACUAAACUCUGUAAAAUCUGAAACAGCUCUGGAAUGUGCCUGAAAGUCUUCACCUACCAGACUACUUUCCUUUACAAUCAAGACCCCCGAUUUCAUCCAGAAGAACAGGUGAGUUUCUUACUCAGUCCAUUUCUUGGCAUGAGAAAUCCAUAAAAACUUAUAUUCCUCUUUAAACAGUUGCCGCGAAAGGUUAAAAAGAGAGAGACAGAGACAGGCUACUAAAACUAUCAAUUUACUUUGAAAUCUUACUUUCUUUUCAAGUUUUCUUUUUGUCUCCAGUGGACUUUUGUCAAGGGAGAGUCUCCGUGCUUGGGCGGUGUGAGUCAGCUUAGCAGAAAAAUAAUCAGGCUCAAAAUGUUGAUUCUCUGCAGGGCUGAAUGAUUUUUGCAGCUCUCCAAGCUUAGGUCACUGCAACAAGUUGAUAAAGAAACUGUGGAAAUUCCCAGAGC